GGGACUCAAUUAAUACAGUUGGAAUUUGGAACAAGAAAAUUGAGAUAUUAUUGUGAGAAAUAGGUUUUGUAAUUUAUUUAUUGACACGUUUACAUGUCAAUAUCAUUACUUGUUUCAAAGGAGUUUCACUCCUCCUCUUACUAGCGAAGGAAGAGGAAGUUGCACUAUCAUUUGUGUGACAUUUGAAGUGCCAGUUUUCAAUAAUAGUUGUUUUCAACAACAACAAAAAUGCACACAAAAUUGUUUUAACUCGACGUUCUUGAUAAUCUCUAAGGCAAGUUGGAUAGUUGAAGAUAAACACAAGAUAAGUUUAUGUGUCAACCUUUAUCAAGUGGAUAUUGACUUUUCCCUUUUGUCCUUUCAACUUGUCUAAAUACAAGUUUUUCCCGUAUCUGCUAAAACAAUUAAAUAAAAACUCAUACUGUGUGCAGUGCCCCUUGAUUAUAUUAAUGAAGCUAUUUAUUUAUUUUAUGAAUAAAUACCCAAUUUGUUAUAUGAAAUGGUAGAAUUAUAUUAAUCUAGCCUCUUGCAUUAUCAGUAUUUUUUGAAUUUUUAAAAUAUUUGUCAAAUAUCUUAUACUAGUACCUUAAUGUUCG
rnacentral:lncRNA from 1 species